GGGUUGUGAGGUUAAGCGACUAAGCGUACACGGUGGAUGCCCUGGCAGUCAGAGGCGAUGAAGGACGUGCUAAUCUGCGAUAAGCGUCGGUAAGGUGAUAUGAACCGUUAUAACCGGCGAUUUCCGAAUGGGGAAACCCAGUGUGAUUCGUCACACUAUCAUUAACUGAAUCCAUAGGUUAAUGAGGCGAACCGGGGGAACUGAAACAUCUAAGUACCCCGA
rnacentral:rRNA from 1 species